rnacentral:rRNA from 1 species
CCUACGGGGCGCAGCAGUGGAGAAUAUUGGACAAUGGGCGAAAGCCUGAUCCAGCCAUGCCGCGUGUGUGAAGAAGGCCUUCGGGUUGUAAAGCACUUUCAGUGGGGAAGAAAGCCUUGGGGCUAAUACCCUCGAGGAAGGACAUCACCCACAGAAGAAGCACCGGCUAACUCCGUGCCAGCAGCCGCGGUAAUACGGAGGGUGCGAGCGUUAAUCGGAAUUACUGGGCGUAAAGCGCGCGUAGGCGGUCUGAUAAGCCGGUUGUGAAAGCCCCGGGCUCAACCUGGGAACGGCAUCCGGAACUGUCAGGCUAGAGUGCAGGAGAGGAAGGUAGAAUUCCCGGUGUAGCGGUGAAAUGCGUAGAGAUCGGGAGGAAUACCAGUGGCGAAGGCGGCCUUCUGGACUGACACUGACGCUGAGGUGCGAAAGCGUGGGUAGCAAACAGGAUUAGAUACCCCAGUAGUC